UACAGAGGUCUCAAGCGUUGUUCGGAUUCAUUGGGCGUAAAGGGUGCGUAGGUGGCGCCGUAAGUCGGGUGUGAAAUUUCGGAGCUUAACUCCGAAACUGCAUUCGAUACUGCGGUGCUUGAGGACUGGAGAGGAGACUGGAAUUCAUGGUGUAGCAGUGAAAUGCGUAGAGAUCAUGAGGAAGACCAGUGGCGAGGGCGGGUCUCUGGACAGUUCCUGACACUGAGGCACAAAGGCCAGGGGAGCAAACGGG
rnacentral:rRNA from 1 species